rnacentral:tRNA from 1 species
GCCGAGAUAGCCAAGGUUGGUCAAGGCGGGCGCCUGAAGAGCGUCAUAUGUAGGUUCGACUCCUACUCUCGGCA